rnacentral:rRNA from 1 species
AUUGAACGCUGGCGGCAGGCCUAACACAUGCAAGUCGAGCGGACGAAGGGAGCUUGCUCCUGGAUUCAGCGGCGGACGGGUGAGUAAUGCCUAGGAAUCUGCCUGGUAGUGGGGGAUAACGUCCGGAAACGGGCGCUAAUACCGCAUACGUCCAGAGGGAGAAAGUGGGGGAUCUUCGGACCUCACGCUAUCAGAUGAGCCUAGGUCGGAUUAGCUAGUUGGUGGGGUAAAGGCCUACCAAGGCGACGAUCCGUAACUGGUCUGAGAGGAUGAUCAGUCACACUGGAACUGAGACACGGUCCAGACUCCUACGGGAGGCAGCAGUGGGGAAUAUUGGACAAUGGGCGAAAGCCUGAUCCAGCCAUGCCGCGUGUGUGAAGAAGGUCUUCGGAUUGUAAAGCACUUUAAGUUGGGAGGAAGGGCAGUAAGUUAAUACCUUGCUGUUUUGACGUUACCAACAGAAUAAGCACCGGCUAACUUCGUG